rnacentral:rRNA from 1 species
GGUUGUAUCUUAGUGGCGAACGGGUGAGUAACGCGUGAGCAACCUGACCUUCAGAGGGGGAUAACACUUGGAAACAGGUGCUAAUACCGCAUAAGACCACGACCCGACAUCGGGAUGAGGUCAAAGGAGUAAUCCGCUGAGGGAGGGGCUCGCGUCCCAUUAGAUAGAUGGCGGGGUAACGGCCCACCAUGUCGACGAUGGGUAGCCGAGCUGAGAGGCUGAUCGGCCACACUGGAACUGAGACACGGUCCAGACUCCUACGGGAGGCAGCAGUGGGGAAUAUUGGGCAAUGGGCGCAAGCCUGACCCAGCAACGCCGCGUGAGGGAAGAAGGCCUUCGGGUUGUAAACCUCUGUCCUUGGUGACGAAACAAAUGACGGUAGCCAAGGAGGAAGCCCCGGCUAACUACGUGCCAGCAGCCGCGGUAAUACGUAGGGGGCGAGCGUUGUCCGGAAUUACUGGGCGUAAAGGGUGCGUAGGUGGCCUUUUAAGUUGGAUGUGAAAUACCCGGGCUUAACUUGGGGGGUGCAUCUAAUACUGGGAGGCUAGAGUGCAGGAGAGGGAAGCGGAAUUCCUAGUGUAGCGGUGAAAUGCGUAGAUAU